GCUUUUAUAGUUUAUAUAAAAUUUUAUCUUUGUAAGUUAAGGAAGGAACACCUAAAAGCU
rnacentral:tRNA from 1 species